rfam:Strongylocentrotus purpuratus Contig52685_fixed, whole genome shotgun sequence.
CCGUCGAUAGCUCAGUUGGUAGAGCGGAAGACUGUAGAGGAACAAUCACAGACAUCUUUAGGUCGCUGGUUCGAAUCCGGCUCGACGGA